UACAGAGGUCUCAAGCGUUGUUCGGAAUUACUGGGCGUAAAGGGCUCGUAGGCGGCCAACUAAGUCAUACGUGAAAUCCCUCAGCUUAACUGGGGAACUGCGUGUGAUACUGGAUGGCUUGGAUUUGGGAGAGGGAUGCGGAAUUCCAGGUGUAGCGGUGAAAUGCGUAGAUAUCGGGAGGAACACCUGUGGCGAAGGCGGGUCUCUGGACAGUUCCUGACGCUGAGGCACGAAGGCCAGGGGAGCAAACGGG
rnacentral:rRNA from 1 species